rnacentral:misc_RNA from 1 species
GAUGAAGAACGUAGCGAAAUGCGAUACUUGGUGUGAAUUGCAGAAUCCCGUGAACCAUCGAGUCUUUGAACGCAAGUUGCGUCCGAAGCCAUUAGGCCGAGGGCACGCCUGCCUGGGCGUCACACGUCGUUGCCCCCCCCAUCUACUCCUUCGGGAUUGCGGGGGGCGGAUGAUGGCCUCCCGUGCGCCUCGCCGCGCGGUUGGCAUAAAUGCCAAGUCCUCGGCGACGCACGCCACGACAAUCGGUGGUUGCGAAACCUCGGUUGCCCGUCGUGUGCGGUCGUCGCGCAUCGAGGGCUCGAAAAAAUUGCCGAGUUCCGGCUCGGCUUUCAACGCGACCCCAGGUCAGGCGGGGUUACCCGCUGAAUUUAAGCAUAUCAAUAAGCGGAGGA